rnacentral:rRNA from 1 species
GUUGACCUCGGAUCAGGUAGGGAUACCCGCUGAACUUAAGCAUAUCAAUAAGCGGAGGAAAAGAAACCAACAGGGAUUGCCCUAGUAACGGCGAGUGAAGCGGCAACAGCUCAAAUUUGAAAUCUGGCGCAAGCCCGAGUUGUAAUUUGUAGAGGAUGCUUCUAGGUAGCGACCGGUCUAAGUUCCUUGGAACAGGACGUCAUAGAGGGUGAGAAUCCCGUAUGUGACCGGCCCGCACCUUCUACGUAGCUCCUUCGACGAGUCGAGUUGUUUGGGAAUGCAGCUCUAAAUGGGAGGUAAAUUUCUUCUAAAGCUAAAUACCGGCCAGAGACCGAUAGCGCACAAGUAGAGUGAUCGAAAGAUGAAAAGCACUUUGGAAAGAGAGUUAAAAAGCACGUGAAAUUGUUGAAAGGGAAGCGCUCACAACCAGACUUCUGGGCGGUGUUCCGCCGGUCUUCUGACCGGUCUACUCGCCGUCCCGAGGCCAAC